rnacentral:piRNA from 1 species
UAAGAUAAACGUAAAUACAGC